CUUUCCAGAUCUGCAAGGACCCAACCAUUUCCAGAGUCAACUUCGCAAGAGCGUCUGCUACAGCGUUCGCUUCUCGCCUAAUCCACUCUGCUCUGACUUCCCACCUUCGAUCCAUUAAGUCAGCAAUCUCCUUCCAUAAACAACAGAUUCCAAGCUACUUCCAGACUCCAAGCUUCUGCCUCUUCUGGUGUGCAGCGCCCCACUUCCGCCGAUCAACUCUCUACUUUGCUUACCAUUAGUUCUUGUUCUGCCUCCAAAA